rnacentral:antisense_RNA from 1 species
CUUCAGCGAACCCAGGUACAGCGGGCGGUCGUCGGGCCGCUCCUGGCCGUAGGUGGCGAUCAGCGCCUGGGCCUC